AUAUGGCCGGCCAAAGCAUGAAGUGAGGAGGAAAGGAAAGAACACAAACCCUAGGUGGGAAAAUUGAAGAAAAAGUGUGGGAUUUCAAUGGAUUAAGCUAAUAAAGGUAAAAUUUUGUGAUUUUAUCUUGUGAUUUACACUACCCAUGCUUUCUUUUUCAUUUUCCAUGCUUAGAACUCAAGCGUGAGACCCUAACCUCUAUAGGCUUGUAAUUAAGCCUAGAUGUAAUAAUACAAGCCAAGGGUAAUUUUGUCAUUUUCUCUAAUAAGCUCCCAAAAGAAAGUUUUAUGAUAUUUUGAGGUCUAAAUGGGUAUAAGACUGCAUAAAUGAUGUGUGCUGAUGAAAACACGAAGAAAACUAGAAGUUUCAACAAUUUUCAUAACAGGGGCAAAAUGAUCAUUUUUCACCUCGGGUUAAAAUUUUAAGUUUUUAUGAACCCGAGUAUGUUUAGACCAUUAUGGACCUUGUUCCAGUGUUAAAAGAGCAAAAAGAUUGCAUAAAAGAUUGGAGGAGAAUAAGUAAAUUGGUGGAGGGGUAUUUUCGUAAUUUUAAGGGAAAAGAUAAGAUUGGCUAUAAAUAUCUUGAAAUUUCCAGUACCUUCUUGAAUUUCCAGCAGCUGGUCUUUUUCUUCCCUUCUCCUCUCUCACGUUUCUUCAAUUUCUCCAUGGGAGUUUUCUUCAAGCUUCCAUAACUUUCUCUCUCUAGCUUCAAUUUUCAUGCUUUUGGUGCACCCUUCCAUAAACCCUUGUGCUCUUUCAUCCUCUCACUUUAAAACCCUUGAUAAAUCUCAUUUCUGUACUUUGUCUCACUAGCUGGACGUUUUAGAGAGAGAAAGAGAAAAUUACACCAUUUAUUUGGAAACUAUUAAAAGAGAAUUUGACUACAAAGGAGCCCUAGGGUAAGUGAUGAACUAAGCUCGAUUUUUAGCUGCAGAAAAUGGGUAGUAAUUGGGAUUUAUGAGCUAUUUUAUUGUUGAGUAUGUUCAUUACUUUUAGUGAUUUAGAUAGUGAACGUAGAUGGCCAUUUAAUGUGGCAAGUGAAAGCUAGCUAAGAGAUAGCUUUUUGGGUUCAUAGUGUGUGAAUUGACCUAUUGCUUAUGCUAAUGUGAUCCUAGGUUCUAAGGAAGCCUCAUCAUCCCAUUUGGACAAUUAGGGGAAUUGGAGUCAUCUAAAGGCUCUACAAUCAAUUGGUGAGUGGACUUGCAUUUCAAACUUGUUUUGGGAGUAUGAAUGAUUUUAUCCAACUUGUUUUUUUUUUUAAAUUUAUCUUGGGAACAAGCCUUUGGUGAAGUGAUUUUAUAUUGUGAAAUUGUGAUAUACAAUGGAUUAUGUGUUAUCAAAAUAUGAUAAUAUGCAUGAUAUGCAUUGGGUGCUUAUUCGUAUGUUGAUGUGGACCCGGUUAUGUGCGAGUAGGAGUGCACAUAAGCCGCUGCUGACCUGGCUAUGUGCGAGUGGGAGUGCGCAUAAGCCUUUGCAUAUGAGAUGAUGAUGAUGGGAGAGUGUAUAUGAUGAUUGAUAUCUAUAUAUAUAUACAUAUAUGGUAUAUGGUUGUAAAUGCAAAAAUGUGAACAUUUGCUUUGUUGAAAUUUGGGAGUUUGCAUGUGCUGUAUGUUUAUUUUGUUGGUUUAGCAGGAUGGUCUUUUUGUUGAGUGAGGGGAAACUUUUCUCUUGUUGCUCUAUUUUCGUUGCAGCGAAAUUCAUUCUCGCUGCAGCGAGAAACUCUCGGGUUUGAGAACUUUCACCAGAACUGGUUCUCACUACAGCGAAAAAGAAAUCUCGCUGCAGCGAAAAACUCUCUGUUUCAUCAGUGAAAUUUUGCUGCAGCGAGAAACCUUCUGUUUCUGGGUUACAAUUUUGCUGCAGCGAGAUUCAAUCUCGCUGCAGCGAAAAACCUUAUGUUUUGGUCUCCUAUCUUGUCCAAUUGCUGCCCUAUCUUUCACUUUUUUACUACCAUAUCAGAGCAUGGACUUCCUACGUUAAGGAUUAAAUGAGUUAAGUUUAAAAUGAAGAGGUUUAGUGGGAAACCCUCGGCCAGUUGAGAAACCCUCGUUCAGCUAAUAACUAAAUCCCAACGUCGUUGCAACGAAAAUUCGUUGUCGUAUUUGACUUGCUUGUGUAAUAUUGAAGCUUUCAUUCUUCAAAUGGUUCGUUAUGUAUGGGUUCAUGAUUUUCAAAGGAUUAAUCAUUUAAGGGCUUGAUGAGGGGUUUUUAAUAAGAAUAGAAACAAAUUGCAUUGUUUUGAAAAAGAAUGCAUCAUGAUUUCGUUAAAGAUUCCUUAUGGUAUGCUUGUUCCUUUUCUUGUUCACUCACUAGGUUUAUACUCACCGUUUUCAACUUCAUGUUUUCAGAUCACGAAGUAGCAGCUAACUAGGAUGAGGUGUCCUUGCAGACUUAUAUCCAUCUUUUGUUAGGUGUCUCGGCAUUCAGUAGCAGUACAUUCGUCCGAGUCCCUCCGCUGAAAAUCGAGUCUUCUUUUUGAGAUGUAUAGACAAACUUGAUGUAAAUUAUUAAGAUACAUGUUGUAGGCAAUGUACAUUUAAUUAAUAUGCCAAUAUUAGUUGGCGAAUGUUUAAUUUUAUUAUGAUUCUAAGUUAUGAAAUAGGACUUAGUAGUUAUGAUGGAAUGACUAGUACGUUAGAUUAAUAGGCUUGCUUGGGCUUAGUGGAUUACAUCCAUUGGGCCCAUGCGCCGGUCAUGGCCCGAAAUUUGGGUCGUGACAUCAAGUUUGCAUGAUGAACCCAUGCUGGCCGAAUUUGAGAGGAGAGGUUUUGAGCAUUGAUUUUGCAAGAUUUCAAGCUAAUUAAGUGUUUUUGGUUAUUUGGUAAUGGAAAGUAUGAGAAUCUAGCAACGAAUCACUUUGUUCUUCACAAACCCACAAGAGGCCGAAUUUUCUAGGGAGGAUAUUGAGGCUAAAAUUGAUGAUAUUUCAUGAUAUUUUGGUGGUAUUCAAUGAUUGGUGAGGCUAGAAAUUUAAUGAGAAAUUUUGGCAUGAAAAUCUGAAUUUUUACCUAAUGUAUAGACAUGUGCGAUUUAUGGUUCGGACUGAUAAAUUGAAUCAUAUUCACAGUCAUUGAGGUAUUUUAAGUAUAAUUGGAGUGUAGAAAGUGAAAGAAAUCGAUUUGGAGUUAAAUUGAAGGUUUUAGCCAAUUACACCGAGAAUAGUACGAAUUAGGUCGAAUACUGUAUUUAAACGGCUAUUCGAACAUUUUGCAUCACAUUUCGUGUAUUCAUAUAGAUUUAUAGAGCCUGAAAUAGUUUAUGAUAAAUUGACAUAAUUUAUUGAAAUUCGUGUCACGUAUGAUGUAUAGGUGGUGAGCCCUCUAACAAGGGUAAAGAGAUUAUGCCCGAAGAUCGAAAAUAAAAGUAUAUCGAACUCCUAGUACUGUGAGUAACCUUACUAUUAUCUUAAUUAUCUAGAGUGGUUUUUAUCCGAUUUUGUGAUUUUAUGGAAAAUGAGUUUAAAUGGUAAUUUUUUAGGUUUUAUAAACAAAAUGGGUUUAAAUAAAAUGAUUUCAUAAAAUUGUUUUAAAAUUGAAUGAUGACUUUGCAAAUAGAGUAAUUGGAGACCAUUUGAUGUAUUGUGAAUUUAUGGUUCUAAUUGAUUGGCUUAUGACAAUAUUGGCAUGAAUGGCUGAAUUGGUAUUUGUGUUGAAAUGUAUAAACUGUUGUUUGCCUUGAUAGGCUGGAUAAUGAUAAAAUUGCCAUGUCAUGUUGUUGAAUUUUUAUUGUAUGGUGGGUUUAGCUUGCUGUAGUGAGCUGGUUCUGUGGACCAACCUAUUAGAGGGGCACGAAACCUGGUCAUAUAUAUGUACCUCGAUUGGAGAGGCACGUAGGGUAACUCCCGAGGUCAAACUUUAGAGUUCACUUCACGGCCAACCACCACGUGAGGGGAACUCAGCCAACACCAAGGAACUGCUAUGUUUUCAAAAUAAAAACAUGAUUUAUGUGUACAUAACUUUUUACAGCCUUGGCGGACUCGUUUUGGGAUAGCCAUCGGCCAAG
rnacentral:lncRNA from 1 species